CAGUGCAUCUGGACUUGGUUCAAGUGGCACCAGCCAAAUCCCUGCCUUACUGACCUCUCCCCUGGAGGAGCAGGAGCAGCGCUCAAGGCCGCCCUGGGAGGGCUGAGAGGCAGGCUCUGGACUGGGGACACAGGGAUAGCUGAGCCCCAGCUGGGGGUGGAAGCUGAGCCAGGGACAGUCACAGAGGAACAAGAUCAAGAUGCGCUUUAACUGAGAAGCCCCCAAGGCAGAGGCUGAGAAUCAGAAGACAUUUCAGCAGACAUCUACAAAUCUGAAGGACAAAACAUGGUUCAAGCAUCUGGGCACAGGCGGCUGGAUUGUACCAGUGUCCUUUACUGCAGUGACUGAACAUUCUAGGCACAGUAGAUUCAAGAAAUCUUGAGUUCAUUGGCUGCAAAGAUCCAGGAAAUAUGAUGCGAGGAAGAUGAGAGGAAGAUGGCGCGAGAGUUCCUGGCCGAGUUCAUGAGCACAUAUGUCAUGAUGGUGAGUGGGCGGGCAGCACGAAGUGGGUGGGCUCUGCCAGGGCCUUCCAUGACCCCCUCCCCAUUCUGACCCCAUGGGUCACAUUGUCCAUUCCUUGCCUCUGAGCUGGGAGCCUGGGGAAGCAGCGAGGAAAGUAAGGGG
rnacentral:lncRNA from 1 species